UCCUCCUUGUGUUAUAGUAAGUCUUGUAGUUUUUGUUCGGUAAUUUGCGGUACAUGUUUCACAUAAACAUCUUCCACAUUUUUCACCAUUCAAUAAUUGCAAUAUUAUGUGUGUAAAACACAAGGAGGAUUUUUUAUUAUGGAAACAGGUACAGUAAAAUGGUUUAACUCAGACAAAGGUUUUGGAUUCAUCACUACAGAAGCUGGUAACGACGUAUUCGUUCACUUCUCAGCAAUCCAAGGCGACGGCUUCAAAACUUUAGAAGAAGGUCAAACAGUUACUUUCGAUAUCGAAGAAGGUCAACGUGGCCCUCAAGCAACUAACGUUGUUAAAGCUUAAUUCCUAAACUGUCAAACCACAAGACUUUGGUCUUGUGGUUUUUU
rnacentral:sRNA from 1 species